rnacentral:lncRNA from 1 species
GGAGGCAGUUACACAGGAACACGGGCAGCAGCAGAGUCAUCUGGAUGGCAGGUGGUCCUCUUGGCCAUCUGUUUGCCUGGCGGGAUCGGAGGCGGGUGGCUCCUUCUUGCCUUCCCACUUGGAUAUCUUGUCCUUUAUGCUGAGGGGCUGGGGCUGGGCUCUGGCUCGGGCGGAUGGUCCAGAGUUCGGGACACUGUUAAGCUGCUUCUUCCAGGGUCUGCUGGCUUCUUUAGCGCCAAGGUCUGCAGCCGGGCCACUGAUGAUCAUGUUGGAGCUGAGCAUGUCCACUCUGGCCUCCAGCAUGAGGGUGUGGGGGCUCCCGGAGGGACUCCUUCCCAAGGGCACUGCUGGAUGAGUCUUCGGCAAAGGAAUGGGCCUCCCAAGUGGUUGCCUUCCAGGUACUUCCCUAGUCUUUGCAACUUCUGCCU